CAGGAUCCUGCCAGUAGCGUAUGCUUGUCUCAAAGAUUAAGCCAUACAUGGCUAAGUCCGCACGGCUGGUACAGUGAAACUGAAUGGCUCAUUAAAUCAGUUAUGGUUCUUUUGGUCACUCGCCCCCUCCUGCUCGGAUGGAUAACUGUGGACAUUCUAGAGCUAAUGCAUGCUGAGGGUGUUGCCCCAUCCCGGGCAGGGGAGAUGCCUGUGCAUUUAUCAGUAAAAACCAACCCGGCUGUGGGUGCUGGGGGCUUUGGUAACUCCAGAUAACCUUGGGCAGAUCUCUUGCCUCCUGUGGUGGUGACGACCCAUUUGAACGUCUGCCCUAUUAAUUUAAGAUGGUCGUAGAGCCUACCAUGUUGACCACGGGUGAUGGUGAAUCAGGGUUCCAUUCUGGAGAGGGAGCCUGAGAACCGGCUACCACGUCCAAGGAAGGCAGCAGGUGUGCAAAUUACCCACUCCCGACAUGGGGAGGUUGUGACAAAAAAUAACAAUACAGGACUCUCUUGAGGCCCUGUAAUUGGAAUGAGUCUACUUUAAAUCCUUUAAUGAGGAUCCACUGGAGUGCAAGUCUUGUGCCUACUGGACAUACCCCAGCUGGCAACCUACACA
rnacentral:ncRNA from 1 species